CGGUUGAUCCUGCCGGACCCUACCGCUAUCGGGAUAGGACUAAGCCAUGCAAGUUGCGCGUCUCCCACAAUUUAGAGCGCGCAACAAACGGCUCCGUAACACGUGGUUAACCUACCCUUAGGACAGGGAUAACCCCGGGACACUGGGGCUAAUACCUGAUAGGUGAUAGCUCCUGGAAUGGGCUAUCACCCAAAAGACGUUGAGAACAUGCUUUCAACGUCGCCUAAGGAUGGAACCGCGUCCGAUCAGGUUGUUGGUGAGGUAACGGCUCACCAAACCUAUGACCGGUACGGGCCGCGGGAGCGGUAGCCCGGAGAUGGACACUGAGACAAGGGUCCAGGCCCUACGGGGCGCAGCAGGCGCGAAAACUCCGCAAUACACGAAAGUGUGACGGGGCUAUCCCGAGUGCCGUCCGCUGAGGAUGGCUUUUCCCCAGUGUAAGGAGCCGGAGGAAUAAGGAGAGGGCAAGUCUGGUGUCAGCCGCCGCGGUAAUACCAGCUCUCCGAGUGGUAGGGAUGUUUAUUGGGCUUAAAGCGUCCGUAGCCGGCUUAACAAGUCCCCCGUUAAAUCCAACGAUUCAAUCGUUGGACUGCGGGGGAUACUGUUAGGCUAGGGGGCGGGAGAGGCCGACGGUAUUCCCGGGGUAGGGGUGAAAUCCUAUAAUCCCGGGAGGACCACCAGUGGCGAAGGCGGUCGGCUAGAACGCGCUCGACGGUGAGGGACGAAAGCUGGGGGAGCGAACCGGAUUAGAUACCCGGGUAGUCCCAGCUGUAAACGAUGCGGGCUAGGUGUUGGGGUGGCUACGAGCCACCUCAGUGCCGCAGGGAAACCAUUAAGCCCGCCGCCUGGGGAGUACGGCCGCAAGGCUGAAACUUAAAGGAAUUGGCGGGGGAGCAC
rnacentral:rRNA from 1 species